AUGGCUCAGGAUGAACGCUAGCUACAGGCUUAACACAUGCAAGUCGAGGGGCAGCAUGAUCGAAGCUUGCUUUGAUUGAUGGCGACCGGCGCACGGGUGAGUAACGCGUAUCCAACCUUCCCUAUAGUAGAGAAUAGCCCGGCGAAAGUCGGAUUAAUGCUCUAUGUUGUAUUUAGAAGACAUCUGAAGAAUACCAAAGGUUUACCGCUAUAGGAUGGGGAUGCGUCUGAUUAGGUAGUAGGCGGGGUAACGGCCCACCUAGCCGACGAUCAGUAGGGGUUCUGAGAGGAAGGUCCCCCACAUUGGAACUGAGACACGGUCCAAACUCCUACGGGAGGCAGCAGUGAGGAAUAUUGGUCAAUGGACGGAAGUCUGAACCAGCCAAGUAGCGUGCAGGAUGACGGCCCUAUGGGUUGCAAACUGCUUUUAUAUAGGGAUAAAGUCGGGGACGUGUCCCCGUUUGUAGGUACUAUAUGAAUAAGGACCGGCUAAUUCCGUGCCAGCCGCAGC
rnacentral:rRNA from 1 species